UGGGAAUAUUGCACAAUGGGCGGAAGCCUGAUGCAGCAACGCCGCGUGCGGGAUGACGGCCUUCGGGUUAUAAACCGCUUUCGCCUGUGACGAAGCGUGAGUGACGGUAAUGGGUAAAGAAGCACCGGCUAACUACGUGCCAGCAGCCGCGGUGAUACGUAGGGUGCGAGCGUUGUCCGGAUUUAUUGGGCGUAAAGGGCUCGUAGGUGGUUGAUCGCGUCGGAAGUGUAAUCUUGGGGCUUAACCCUGAGCGUGUUUUCGAUACGGGUUGACUUGAGGAAGGUAGGGGAGAAUGGAAUUCCUGGUGGAGCGGUGGAAUGCGCAGAUAUCAGGAGGAACACCAGUGGCGAAGGCGGUUCUCUGGGCCUUUCCUGACGCUGAGGAGCGAAAGCGUGGGGAGCGAACAGGCUUAGAUACCCUGGUAGUCCACGCUGUAAACGGUGGGUACUAGGUGUGGGGUCCAUUCCACGGGUUCCGUGCCGUAGCUAGCGCUUUAAGUACCCCGCCUGGGGAGUACGGCCGCAAGGCUA
rnacentral:rRNA from 1 species